CCCUGCAUUGUACGAUGUUGGUUGAUACAGUCUCUCGGCCCUUAAGUUUAAAUAUUGGGAUUAUGUUCUGUGAAUUAGUCAUGAGCAUGCCUAUUCUAAAAUAGGUAGCCUUAAACUAUCACGACUUAUCCCACCUUCUGCUCAGGCCUGAGAGCAUAAAAUCACAACGGCUUUUGCGGGGA
rnacentral:other from 1 species